rnacentral:rRNA from 1 species
AUUGAACGCUGGCGGCAGGCCUAACACAUGCAAGUCGAACGAGUGGCGGACGGGUGAGUAAUGUCUGGGAAACUGCCCGAUGGAUGGGGAUAACUACUGGCAACGGUAGCUAAUACCGCAUACCAUCGGAUGUGCCCAGUUGGGAUUAGCUAGUAGGUGGGGUAAAGGCUCACCUAGGCGACGAUCCCUAGCUGGUCUGAGAGGAUGACCAGCCACACUGGAACUGAGACACGGUCCAGACUCCUACGGGAGGCAGCAGUGGGGAAUAUUGCACAAUGGGCGAAAGCCUGAUGCAGCCAUGCCGCGUGUAUGAAGAAGGUCUUCGGUUUGUAAAGCACUUUAAGCGAGGAGGCGUUACCCGCAGAAGAAGCACCGGCUAACUCCGUGCCAGCAGCCGCGGUAAUUC